rnacentral:rRNA from 1 species
GAUGAACGCUGGCGGCGUGCCUAAUACAUGCAAGUCGAGCGAACAGACGAGGAGCUUGCUCCUCUGACGUUAGCGGCGGACGGGUGAGUAACACGUGGAUAACCUACCUAUAAGACUGGGAUAACUUCGGGAAACCGGAGCUAAUACCGGAUAAUAUAUUGAACCGCAUGGUUCAAUAGUGAAAGACGGUUUUGCUGUCACUUAUAGAUGGAUCCGCGCCGCAUUAGCUAGUUGGUAAGGUAACGGCUUACCAAGGCGACGAUGCGUAGCCGACCUGAGAGGGUGAGUGGCCACACGGGAAGAGAGACACGCUCCAUACGCCUACGGGAGGCAGCAGUAGCCAAUCUUCCGCAACGGGCGAAAGCCUGACGGAGCAACGCCGCGUGAGUGGUGAGGGUCUCGGGAUCGUAAAACUCUGUUAUUAGGGAAGACCAAAUGUGUAAGUAACUAUGCACGUCUUGACGGUACCUAAUCAGAAAGCCACCGCUAACUACGUG